GUCAACAGUUGGGUGAGCAAGCCCGCAGUGUUUAGAUCAGUACCCUGUGACCUUCCACAUUGAAGUGCGCCAUUCAGCCAAGCCUUCCAGCUGUUGCCUGAACGCUAGGGAGACAGAAUAUUAGCUAUGGAGUGAUCACUAAGAGUCAUCUAACCAUCUUGCUUCAUAGAGAAGAAAAAUGGAGGAUCAGAAUGGAAAGUACUGUGCAGGCAUUUCCUCCUGUGACAGUUGCAUGGUGGUCUGUCCUCAGUGUUUCUCAGAAGAUGCUCUGGAGAUGGGACCUGACCAAGCUUUCGCCCUGCUCUGACCUGUCACUUGUCGUGGGCCUUCAGACUUGCCUCCUAACCAGAGAGAAAGGGCCAAUGAGGGCAAAGGCCAGCUUGCCAGAGCUCAGACAGGCUCUCCUGACUGGUCUGGAACUUGCUAUGUAGUCCACUCUGGCCUUGCACUCACAGAGAUCUGACGGCUUCUGCCUUCAGCACCACACCUGGCUCAUUUUCUCAACUUCUAAGAGCGACUGAGAGCUGGGGAAAUGGCUCAGUCCGUAAAGUGCUUGCCAUCUCUCUGCAAGAGUUUCCUGGAAGGAAUAAAAGAAGAGAACUCGCUAAGGACGAAGUCAGAACGUCACACAACCUCCGUGUCAAUUAUGGCAAUUAAAACGAAUGCUACGGAAGCUAGUGAGACUACUGAGCAGUUUUAAUCAGUUACAAACAUUUUUGCAAUGCUCAGAGUCUUAUCCAUGUCAAGUGUUUUACCACUGGGCUGUAUCCUUAGUCCUGCAGUUGGUGUGUGUCACGUGUGAGUUUGUUCACGUGUGUAGGUGCAUGUGAACGUGUGUAUA